rnacentral:rRNA from 1 species
UACGAAGGGUGCAAGCGUUACUCGGAAUUACUGGGCGUAAAGCGUGCGUAGGCGGUCUGUUAAGUCCGUUGUGAAAGCCCUGGGCUCAACCUGGGAAUUGCAGUGGAUACUGGCAGGCUAGAGUACGGUAGAGGAUGGUGGAAUUCCCGGUGUAGCGGUGAAAUGCGUAGAUAUCUGGAGGAACACCGGUGGCGAAGGCGGCGUUCUGGACUGCAUCUGACACUGAAAGACGAAAGCCAGGGGAGCAAACGGG